AGGACGAACGCUGGCGGCGUGCUUAACACAUGCAAGUCGAGCGGAAAGGCCCUUCUGGGUACUCGAGCGGCGAACGGGUGAGUAACACGUGAGUAAUCUGCCCCUAGCUCUGGGAUAGCUCCGGGAAACCGGGAUUAAUACCGGAUACGACCACCUUAGACAUCUUUUGUGGUGGAAAGAAUUUCGGCUAGGGAUGAGCUCGCGGCCUAUCAGCUUGUUGGUGGGGUAACGGCCUACCAAGGCGACGACGGGUAGCCGGCCUGAGAGGGCGACCGGCCACGACUGGGACUGAGACACGGCCCAGACUCCUACGGGAGGCAGCAGUGGGGAAUAUUGCGCAAUGGGCGAAAGCCUGACGCAGCGACGCCGCGUGGGGGAUGAAGGCCUUCGGGUUGUAAAGCCCUUUCGGCGGGGAAGAUAAUGACGGUACCGCAGAAGAAGCCCCGGCUAACGUUCGUGCCAGCAGCCGC
rnacentral:rRNA from 1 species